CAUCUAGACAGAUUAGCUAGAUGGAGUGUCAAUAGGUUAUCAUAAACGAAUUAACUACUAAGCUUGAUUUUGAAACCAAUGAGUUUUUCUACCUUUUGAUAGGUUUAAUGAGGAGUUUAGGUGAGUUUUAUAGGUAUUUUGAAUGGUUAAUAUGGAGAUUUAGAAGUUGGAAAGUGUUUGUAAUGGUGUCUAAGUGGCAACGACUAGUCCAAAACAUUGUGAAAGAGUUGAAUAUCUUGGCAUGUAAGGAGUAGCUUUAGUAAUUUGGGUGAAUUGAUCUUAAUCUUGAGGAUUUUGAGUGGUUGAUAAGUUACAGUUUGAUGUUAGGUUGUGUUGGAAUGAUAGGGACAAAGCUUUUUGUUAAUAUACAUGAGCUUUGUGAAAAAAAAAAGCAUAAUGACAUACUAAAAAGUUAAGGUUGAUUAGUCAAGAGUGUGUUGAUUGAAUGUGUCAUAAUUUGGCUUUUCUAAAGUUUCAACAAUUUGUUAAGCAAGGGUUCGAGGUAAACUAGAGGUUUUGGUUAGAGUUUCAAGUUACUCCAGUUGUUAUAGGUGGUUGGGGGAGGCUUUUUAAAUGCUAGAAAUAAAGGAGUUGAAGAGAAUUCCUUAAGAUAUUAGGAGAGUUUUAAGGAAGGUUUAAAACUAAGUUUAUUAGAGUGGAAGAAGAUAAUCGAUAAAGAUGCUUGAAUGAGGAAAUGAAAAUGGAUAUUUAUAGUCAAAGAUUAAGGGCAUUUUGGAAAUAG
rnacentral:lncRNA from 1 species